GCAUUGGUGGUUCAGUGGUAGAUUCUCACUUUCCAGGUGUGAAGCCAAGGUUAGAUUCCCAGCCAAUGCA
rnacentral:tRNA from 1 species